rnacentral:lncRNA from 10 species
AUUGCUUCAUGCUGAUGUAGUUUCUGAAAACUUCACAAGCACACAAAAAUCCUAGAACAUGGUGUCUUUUAGGAGGUUCGUGAACGGAUGGGGAGGACCCUGAAAAGCACUGUGGAAUACAGGUUUCUAGUAACUUCAAAAUCACAUCAUUUGGACUGGCUUCUUUGGGAUGUCCGCUCUGCAUAUCUACUAAGGAAUUAAGAAAUAAUGGCUUCAGCAAGAAACAAGGCAGGAAAGUGCAGUGACAUGAGGACCAUACAGGGAAGGAGCUGUCCCCAAAGGUGAGAAUGGCCCUGGACAAGGGUUCUUGCUGUGACUUCACUCAGACCAGACCACCUUGACCUUUUCAUCACCGUGCCUCAGCGAAGUCAGUCGUUGAUUCUCUGAUCGGUUACUGAGAUCAUCAUGAAAUCUCCCUCGUACGAGAGUUGCAGAACUCUGCAGUGUCAAUCAUAGUGUUUGGGAGAGAGGACUUUCUACCUCCAUCCUUUUUCUGAACCUAAAUGGAAUGAAAAUUAGAACUGUUGCUUAUUCUUUGAGGUAAUUUCAAAUUCCCUUAUCCAAACCAGUGUUACAAAAGGACUCCAGUUUGCCCCCCAAAUCGGUCUAUUAAGAAUGUAAUGAUGAAUUUUCAUCCAAAUCCCACAAUAUGAGCUUUUCUAAAAUAACUCUAGAAACAAAUAUGACAAUAUUCCAAAAUUCCUGCCCUCAGACCUUAUUUUGUAUUAGAGUUAUCUGUGUAUCCAUUUUGUAUCCCCUGAAGCACGAUGAGCCACUUGAGGCCAGGUACAGCCAUGGCGUGUAUCCCAGAGCACCUGUGAGAAUGUCUCACAGACAGUCCGUCUCUCCUGAAUAUGAAGGGAUGGGCACCAGCCGGAGCCACCAUCCGUGUGACUGGCCCGUGGCCGCCUCCAGCUCACACAGAACCUCUG